rnacentral:rRNA from 1 species
UCGCGCGGACGCCGAACCUUACGUAAAGUAACCCUAUCCUGGUGUCGUUGAGGUUCUAACCUUGGUCCGUGAAUCCGGAUCGGGGACCGUGCAUGGCAGGCAGUUUGACUGGGGCGGUCUCCUCCCAAAGAGUAACGGAGGAGUACGAAGGUCUUCUAAGCACGGUCGGACAUCGUGCUCAUAGUGCAAUGGCAAAAGAAGGCUUGACUGCGAGUCCAACAAGACGAGCAGGUGCGAAAGCAGGUCAUAGUGAUCCGGUGGUUCUGUAUGGAAGGGCCAUCGCUCAACGGAUAAAAGGUACUCUGGGGAUAACAGGCUGAUUCCGCCCAAGAGUUCAUAUCGACGGCGGAGUUUGGCACCUCGAUGUCGGCUCAUCACAUCCUGGGGCUGUAGCCGGUCCCAAGGGUAUGGCUGUUCGCCAUUUAAAGUGGUACGUGAGCUGGGUUAAAACGUCGUGAGACAGUUUGGUCCCUAUCUGCCGUG